AUCUCACCUCCAUCUCCCAGACCUGGGUCUGCAGCUGAAGGCACCUCAUUUCCAGGUCCUCUGCUGUGGACGAGUCAGGAGCAUCUGAAAGGGAAGACUUGGUUUUUCUAUGCACAGCCUUAAAGAAGAGCUGCAGACUGAUUUUUUGCAUUAUGGAUGACAUGAGUUCCAUGUCAGCAGGAGCUGCACCUGAAAACACAAAUAUAGCACGUUACCUCUCUAAAAGGGCAAUUGCUACUGGAGGUAGAUCUGCACCACAGGGGACCCCAUCCAAGAAUUCCAGUUCUGCCACAGGACCUUUUGUCGUCCCCCUUGAGCAGGAGGGGAGACUGCCUUGCUCUGGGUUCUUUGACCAAGGAGACAGGCUGUCACCUGAGAAGAGGCACAAAGAGCAUGGAAGAGAGAAAACAGGUCAGCAUGUUGCAUAUGACUUCUCCAAAAGGAGGUAAAGAAACAUGAUGGUUAUGCUAAGGGAACGAGAGGGGAGGAGAAAGCAGAACGGCCCAAGUCUGUUCACUCCCAUAAGCACUCGCAAAAUAAUAAGAGUAUGAGGGCACUCGUUAUGGCACAGGACCCAAGGGAACAUACGAUCUCAGCAGCCAGAAAGAGCGAUCACAAAAUGGGGCUAGCAGAAGGAGACCAUGACGCUAAUACAGAGCAUCCUGCACUGCGCUGUGAGGCUGAAACCGGUGACACCGAGCUGCGCUAACAAAAAGUUCAGUCUGGGAGGAACAGAAGCAGCAACCUUCACUGACAGUGGAAAGACGGCUUUUGCUCUAAGAUCUAAUAGGAAGGAUGUGACCUAAAAUGGAACUGUAAAACUCGAUGAAGCUGUAAUGUGCACUAGGGGUUGCUGAGGAUGUGGAAACCCUUUGUUACUUAUCUGAUUUUGGACAUGUAGGAGAAAGAGCCACGAUCGCUGCAAAACACGUAAGGUGGUAAGAAAAGCCUUACCAGAAGACGCAAACAACUUAGCUCUGCCCUUUUUCUAAAAAUGAAGAGAGAACAUGUAGAAUCAAAGGCCCACCUUCCCGGUGCAAACUGCUCGCCUUCCGGCCGGGGGGGUCGCGCACCCACGGCUCCGCCUGGCCUCGAGCAGCAGCAGUUCAGAUCCCCGGGGCGCGCUCUGCGUUGGCCGCCUGGGAGCAAAGAGGUGGAAACGGGAGCGGAG